UGGGGAAUCUUCCGCAAUGGACGAAAGUCUGACGGAGCAACGCCGCGUGAGUGAUGACGGCCUUCGGGUUGUAAAGCUCUGUUGAUCGGGACGAAUGGUUCUUGUGCAAAUAGUGCGAGGAUUUGACGGUACCGGAAUAGAAAGCCACGGCUAACUACGUGCCAGCAGCCGCGGUAAUACGUAGGUGGCAAGCGUUGUCCGGAAUUAUUGGGCGUAAAGCGCGCGCAGGCGGAUUGGUCAGUCUGUCUUAAAAGUUCGGGGCUUAACCCCGUGAUGGGAUGGAAACUGCCAAUCUAGAGUAUCGGAGAGGAAAGUGGAAUUCCUAGUGUAGCGGUGAAAUGCGUAGAUAUUAGGAAGAACACCAGUGGCGAAGGCGACUUUCUGGACGAAAACUGACGCUGAGGCGCGAAAGCCAGGGGAGCGAACGGGAUUAGAUACCCCGGUAGUCCUGGCCGUAAACGAUGGGUACUAGGUGUAGGAGGUAUCGACCCCUUCUGUGCCGGAGUUAACGCAAUAAGUACCCCGCCUGGGGAGUACGACCGCAAGGUUG
rnacentral:rRNA from 1 species